rnacentral:rRNA from 1 species
GAUGAACGCUGGCGGCGUGCCUAAUACAUGCAAGUAGAACGCUGAAGCUUGGUGCUUGCACCGAGCGGAUGAGUUGCGCACGGGUGAGUAACGCGUAGGUAACCUGCCUCUUAGCGGGGGAUAACUAGGGGAAAGGAUAGCUAAUACCGCAUAAAAGUCGAUAUCGCAUGAUAGUGAGUUGAAAGGUGCAAAUGCAUCACGAAGAGAUGGAUCUGCGGUGUAUUAGCUAGUUAGUGAGGUAACUGCUCACCAAGGCGAGGUUACAUAGACGACCGGAGAGGGUGAUCGGCCGCACUGGGAGUGUGACACGGCCCAGUCGCCUUCGGGAAGCAGCCGGAGGGCAUCUUCGGCCAGGGGGGCAACACUGACCGAGAAACGCCGAGUGCGUGAAGAAGGUUUUCGGAUCGUGAAGCUCGGUUGUCAGAGAAGAAAGCGUGUGAGAGUGGAACGUUCACACUGUGACGGUAACUGAUCAGAAAGCAACGGCUAACUACGUG